ACGCAUAUCCCUAUCUUGGGACCGGACCACCAAGGCAGCCAGUAUAUAAACUGAAAGGGGUACUUUUCAAUGGUGCUGCAAGCACUGGUGGAUCACAAGGGACAUUUCACUGACAUCAACAUGAGAUGGCCGGGAAAAGUACAUGACACUUUCAUCUUCAGGAACUCUGGUCUACAUAGAGAGGAGGAGUCCUUGUGGCACUUU